GCAAGUAAUCACGAAUAGGCC
rnacentral:miRNA from 1 species